CCUUCUUGUCACCGAGUAGCCGAUAUAUCAUCAGUUGGUGGCAAGCAGUCACUAACACAGCUAACGCGUUAAAUGAUCCGCCUGAGUAGUAUGCUCGCAAGAGUGAAACUUAAAGGAAUUGACGGGAAUCCGCACAAGCGGUGGAGCAUGUGGUUUAAUUUGAAGAUACGCUAGAACCUUACCCACUCUUGACAUCCUUGCAAAACUAUAGAGAUAUAGCAGAGGUUACAGAGUGACAGAUGGUGCAA
rnacentral:rRNA from 1 species